rnacentral:rRNA from 1 species
UACACUCCUACGGGAGGCAGCAGUGGGGAAUAUUGCACAAUGGGCGCAAGCCUGAUGCAGCCAUGCCGCGUGUAUGAAGAAGGCCUUCGGGUUGUAAAGUACUUUCAGCGGGGAGGAAGGCGAUAAGGUUAAUAACCUUGUCGAUUGACGUUACCCGCAGAAGAAGCACCGGCUAACUCCGUGCCAGCAGCCGCGGUAAUACGGAGGGUGCAAGCGUUAAUCGGAAUUACUGGGCGUAAAGCGCACGCAGGCGGUCUGUCAAGUCGGAUGUGAAAUCCCCGGGCUCAACCUGGGAACUGCAUUCGAAACUGGCAGGCUAGAGUCUUGUAGAGGGGGGUAGAAUUCCAGGUGUAGCGGUGAAAUGCGUAGAGAUCUGGAGGAAUACCGGUGGCGAAGGCGGCCCCCUGGACAAAGACUGACGCUCAGGUGCGAAAGCGUGGGGAGCAAACAGGAUUAGAAACCCCUGUAGUCCCA